rnacentral:sRNA from 1 species
GUCUACCCAGGAACUGACCUUGCUCUCUCUUUUCGCUGUUAGACAUGGGCACUCCACAGAAGGAUGUUAUUAUCAAGUCAGAUGCACCAGACACUCUCUUAUUGGAGAAACAUGCAGAUUAUAUCGCAUCCUAUGGCUCAAAAAAAGAUGAUUAUAUUCUUACGCUGUAUGACAGUAUUAAUGUUAUCGAUGUAAAUAAAGUUGUGGAAUAUGUUAAAGGUCUACAGAAAGAAGAUGGUUCUUUUGCUGGAGAUAUUUGGGGUAAUGUCAGAUUUAGUCCAUUCUACCCAAAAUACCAAUAAUAAAAUGUACUGGUUUUGCUAGUAACCAGUUUAUAAGUUUUUCAUCUUUUCAGGUCCCACUAAGCAGCUGGUCUAACUGGAGUUAAUGGUCUGCUGGAACUUCCAGCAUGCACUGUGGUAGUUAUAUCAGCAUACAGGAGCACUGGAACAGAGGGGGCCAGUCUAAAAGAUAAGGGAUGAACACAGUGCAGGCCAGAGAGACCAGCUGCUUCAUGGGAUGUGAAAAUUCUACUUUUAUAAAGUAGGGAGAAAUUGACACAAGAUUCUCUUUUUGUGCGGUGGCAACUUUGGCUUUGUUGGGGAAGCUUGAUGCUAUUAAUGUGGAAAAGGCAAUCGAAUUUGUUUUAUCCUGUAUGAACUUUGACGGUGGAUUUGGUUGCAGACCAGGUUCUGAAUCCCAUGCUGGGCAGAUCUAUUGUUGCACAGGAUUUCUGGCUAUUACAAGUCAGUUGCAUCAAGUAAAUUCUGAUUUACUUGGCUGGUG